rnacentral:rRNA from 1 species
UACGUAGGGUGCGAGCGUUAAUCGGAAUUACUGGGCGUAAAGCGUGCGCAGGCGGUUCGUCGUGUCCGAUGUGAAAGCCCCGGGCUCAACCUGGGAAUGGCAUUGGAAACUGGCGGGCUUGAGUGUGGCAGAGGGGGGUGGAAUUCCGCGUGUAGCAGUGAAAUGCGUAGAGAUGCGGAGGAACACUGAUGGCGAAGGCAGCCCCCUGGGCUAACACUGACGCUCAGGCACGAAAGCGUGGGGAGCAAACAGG